rnacentral:sRNA from 1 species
AGCCAGUACCAAGAACUAGCAGUAGCCCUGGAGUCAAGCUCCGUGACAAUCAAUCAACUCAAUGAAAACAUAGAAUCAUUGAAACAGCAGAAGAAACAAGUGGAACAUCAGCUGGAAGAAGCAAAGAAAACAAACAAUGAAAUACACAAAGCACAAAUGGAGCAGUUAGAGGUGAGUGGAGGGUGGGGAGCUUUCUCCUGUCCUCUGGAGAAUGUUUCUUUCCUUCUCUUUCAGCAUUUCCUUGGCUUUUCUCCCAAACGUUCAAUUCCAGACAAUCAACAUCCUCACAUUGGAAAAGGCAGACUUGAAGACCACCCUUUACCGUACUAAACGUGCUGCCCGACACUUCGAAGAAGAGUCCAAGGAUCUGGCUGGCCGCCUGCAAUACUCCUUACAGCGUAU